rnacentral:rRNA from 1 species
CCUACGGGGGGCAGCAGUGAGGAAUAUUGGUCAAUGGGCGGGAGCCUGAACCAGCCAAGCCGCGUGAGGGAAGAAGGUACAGCGUAUCGUAAACCUCUUUUGUCAGGGAACAAAGGCGGGGACUAGUCCCCGGAUGAGGGUACCUGAAGAAAAAGCAUCGGCUAACUCCGUGCCAGCAGCCGCGGUAAUACGGAGGAUGCGAGCGUUAUCCGGAUUUAUUGGGUUUAAAGGGUGCGCAGGCGGCCCGUUAAGUCAGCGGGAAAAGCCCGGGGCUCAACCCCGGCGAGCCGUUGAAACUGGCGGGCUGGAGUUGGAGAGAAGUACGCGGAAUGCGCGGUGUAGCGGUGAAAUGCUUAGAUAUCGCGCAGAACCCCGAUUGCGAAGGCAGCGUACCGGCUCCACACUGACGCUGAGGCACAAAAGCGUGGGUAUCGAACAGGAUUAGAUACCCCAGUAGUC